GUUUGAUCCUGGCUCAGGAUGAACGCUAGCGACAGGCUUANCANUUGNAAGUCGAGGGGCAGCGGGGGAGUAAGCUUGCUUACUUCUGCCGGCGACCGGCGCACGGGUGAGUAACACGUAUGCAACCUGCCCGUCACAGGGGGAUAAUCGGAAGAAAUUCCGUCUAAUACCGCGUGACAACACCGAGAGGCAUCUUUUGGUGUUCAAAGGAAGCAAUUCCGGUGACGGAUGGGCAUGCGUCGCAUUAGCUAGUCGGCGGGGUAACGGCCCACCGAGGCGACGAUGCGUAGGGGUUCUGAGAGGAAGGCCCCCCACACUGGUACUGAGACACGGACCAGACUCCUACGGGAGGCAGCAGUGAGGAAUAUUGGUCAAUGGGCUAAGGCCUGAACCAGCCAAGUCGCGUGAGGGAAGACGGUCCUAUGGAUUGUAAACCUCUUUUGUCGGGGAGCAACGAGGCCACGUGUGGCCGAAGUGAGAGUACCCGAAGAAAAAGCAUCGGCUAACUCCGUGCCAGCAGCCGCGGUAAUACGGAGGAUGCGAGCGUUAUCCGGAUUUAUUGGGUUUAAAGGGUGCGUAGGCGGAACAUUAAGUCAGCGGGUAAAAUCGAGGGGGCUCAACCCCCUUUAAGCCGUUGAAAACUGGGUGAUCNUUGAGUNGGGCGAGAAGUAUGCGGAAUGCGUGGUGUAGCGGUGAAAUGCAUAGAUAUCACGCAGAACUCCGAUUUGCGAAGGCAGCAUACCGGCGCCCGACUGACGCUGAGGCACGAAAGCGUGGGGAUCGAACAGGAUUAGAUACCCCUGGUAGUCCACGCAGUAAACGAUGAAUACUAACUGUCCGGGUUCGAGCGAGAUCUGGGUGGUAAAGCGAAAGCGUUAAGUAUUCCACCUGGGGAGUACGCCGGCAACGGUGAAACUCAAAGGAAUUUGACGGGGGGGCCCGCACAAGCGGAAGGAACAUUGUNGGUUUAAUUCCNAUGAUACGCGAGGNAACCUUACCNNGGGCUCAAACGCAGACUGGCACACGGUGAAAGCCGUAUUUCCCACGGGACAGACUGCGAGGUGCUGCAUGGUUGUCGUCAGCUCGUGCCGUGAGGUGUCGGCUUAAGUGCCAUAACGAGCGCAACCCCUACCGACAGUUGCUAACAAGUAACGUUGAGGACUCUGUCGGGACUGCCGGCGCAAGCUGAGAGGAAGGCGGGGAUGACGUCAAAUCAGCACGGCCCUUACGUCCGGGGCGACACACGUGUUACAAUGGCAGGUACAGCGGGAAGCCAUAUGGCGACAUAGAGCGGAACCCGAAAACCUGUCUCAGUUCGGAUUGGAGUCUGCAACCCGACUCCAUGAAGCUGGAUUCGCUAGUAAUCGCGCAUCAGCCACGGCGCGGUGAAUACGUUCCCGGGCCUUGUACACACCGCCCGUCAAGCCAUGGGAGCCGGGGGUACCUGAAGUGCGUGACCGCAAGGAGCUUNNAUGAGGUAAAACCGGUGACUGGGGCUAAGUCGUAACAAGGUAAC
rnacentral:rRNA from 1 species